GACGAACGCUGGCGGCGUGCCUAAUACAUGCAAGUCGAACGCAGUGGGGACGGGUGAGAAACACGUGGGUAACCUCCCAUCAGAGGGGAUAACACUUGGAAACAGGUGCUAAACCGAUACUGAUGGAUGGACCCGCGGUGCAUUAGCUAGUUGGUGAGGUAACGGCUCACCAAGGCCACGAUGCAUAGUCGACCUGUGAGGGUGAUCGGACACAAUUGGACUGAUAAAGGGCCUAGACUCCUACGGGAGGCAGCAGUAGGGAAUCUUCGGCAAGGGACGAAAGUCUGACCGAGCAACGCCGCGUGAGUGAAAAAGGUUUUCGGAUCGUAAAACUAUGUUGUUAGAGAAGCGGUAUCUAACCAGAAAGCCACGGGUAACUACGUGCCAGCAGCCGCGGGAAUUC
rnacentral:rRNA from 1 species